rnacentral:rRNA from 1 species
GUGCCAGCCGCCGCGGUAAUACGAAGGGGGCUAGCGUUACUCGGAAUUACUGGGCGUAAAGGGCGCGUAGGCGGCUCGACCAGUCAGGCGUGAAAUUCCUGGGCUUAACCUGGGGACUGCGCUUGAUACUGUUGGGCUUGAGGCCGAGAGAGGGUGGUGGAAUUCCCAGUGUAGAGGUGAAAUUCGUAGAUAUUGGGAAGAACACCGGUGGCGAAGGCGACCACCUGGCUCGGUACUGACGCUGAGGCGCGACAGCGUGGGGAGCAAACAGGAUUAGAAACCCUUGUAGUCC